rfam:Haemonchus contortus, ISE/inbred ISE, WGS project CAVP01000000 data, contig: Hcontortus_35818
GGCACAAACUCGAAGUAGAGUAGUUUGGUAGGGUUAGGUGAUCCUUCUAUUCUAUUCUCCUUCAAAUUUGGGCCC